rnacentral:rRNA from 1 species
GACGAACGCUGGCGGCGUGCUUAACACAUGCAAGUCGAACGAAGUGGCGAACGGGUGAGUAAUAAGAGGGUACCCUGCCCUCCUUUUUGGGAUAAGCCUUGGAAACGGGGUCUACGACCGAAUAAAGGGGGAGGGGAUCGCGGCGUAUCAGCUUGUUGGUGGGGUAAUGGCCUACCAAGUCGGUGACGGGUAGGCGGUCUGAGAGGGUGACCGCCAACAUUGGGACUGAGAUGCGGCCCAGACUCCUACGAGAGGAAGAAAUCGGAGAUAUUGCACAAUGGGCGAAAGCCUGAUGCAGCCAUGCCGCGUGUAUGAUGAAGGCCUUCGGGUUGUAAAGUACUUUCAGCGGGGAGACGUUACCCGCAGAAGAAGCACCGGCUAACUCCGUGCCAGCAGCCGCGGUAAUUC